CCCGGUCGCAGAUAAGACAUAACUGCAGAUAAACGAAAUUUUACCCAGACAAAAUUGCUUGUGAUAAGAUACAGUCACGCUACAGUUAACGAAUAUGCUGUUUUUCUGUUUAAGGUGUACACUGAUGUUUCGGUAAUCGUUUAAAUCUAUUUAUUAUGCAUAUCAUUCUAAAUUUUUCUAUUGCAAAGUUAUUUUUAAAUACCAUUGCAUGUAAAUGUAAUUUUCUUAACAUAUUGCGUAACUACAAAUGGCAUCUUCACCCUACGUCUUACCGUGUUUCUAAAGCUAAUUAAAUUGAAGUGAAUGUCUGAAGACCUAUCUCUAGAGAUCUCUAUAAAAUAUCACUUGAUCUCUAUAAAAUAUCACUUGAUCUUUAAUCGAAGAUCGAGUGCAAUGUGGUUGGUAGACUGGCUUCAAGUCUCUCUUUUAUUGUCAUAUAGUAUCGAUCCACUAUAGUGUACACUACAUGACGUAGUACGGAGGGGCGGAGCGAGACUAGACUUGUCAACUUCGGAAAAUCUCGGUUCAAACCGAAAAUGGAAGACUUGCUUUAAUUGUUUUCUGUCAGUGUUUAUAUGUAUUGAUCUAGCACAGUGUAAAUAACAUGAGUUCCAUUAUAGUAAAUAAUACAGAAAGAAAUUGAAGGAAAACAAUUAAAGCAAGUCUUGCAUUUUCGGUUCAGUUUUGAACCGAGAUUUUCCGAAGUUGACAAGUCUCUCUUUCUCGCUCCGCCUCUCCGUGCUACGUUAUGUAAUGUACACUAUAGUGGAUCGAUAUGUCAAUGAAAGAGAGACUUGGAGCAAGUCUAUGUGGUUGGUAACUGGUAGACUGCGAGCGGUCCCUUCUUUCCACGGAUUUAGCUUCCCGGGCGUGCGAGGGGAGAGGAGGGUCUGCCGACAACAAAUCAAGAAACGAUAUACGCCCACUUUUCGCUCUUGUCAAGUUGGCUCCGCCUUUUGCAUAAACAUUACAUGUACUUGAUUUUUUCUGUGUUGGUGUUGUGUACUCAGGUGAAUGUGAUGUUUGUGAUGUUACUCUGAGUGUAUAUCCAAACCGGGCGAGCUUGAAAA
rnacentral:lncRNA from 1 species